GGAGGAGGCUUCUACCAUGAGUGGCACACAUAGGCGGCUCACAUGCGCUGUGUACAGAAACAUCAAGAGAUUUCAGAAGCAUAAUUUUUUUUGUCAGUAGGGCAGCUGGUGAUUGUUGGUCUUGGUGCCCUC